CUACAAGAACCGGACUCCAUCCGAACUUCUACAGCAGAUGGAUUCUAGACGAACUUCUACAACGGACGGGCUUCAGCAGUCGGAUUUCUACAGUGACCGACUGUCUCCGGUGUCUUCCGUACCUCUCCAGUCAUCAACCUUCAACAGCGCCAACCGAACUUCAACAGUACCAACCAGAUCCCUCUAACGGACAAAUUUUCUCUGGACCCCUCUAGCGGCCGACCUUCCACAGUGUCCUCCAGACUCCUCCAGCGGACGAACUUCCACAACACCUUUCGAAUUUUGCUAUCGGUCGACCUUUUGUCGGAUUCCUCAUGCAACCGGACCUCUCCAGUGGAUAGUCUUCAGACAAGCUUUUAUAUCAGACC
rnacentral:lncRNA from 1 species